rnacentral:rRNA from 1 species
CCAGCAGCUGCGGUAAUUCCGGCUCCAAUAGCGUAUAUUAAAGUUGUUGCAGUUAAAAAGCUCGUAGUCUGAUGUAAUGGGGACGGGAGUGGGGAGCAGCGAUGCUCUGUGCUUCGGUUUCCAUCAGGGGGUCAGCAAUGGCCCGGUUUACUUUGAGGAAAUUAGAGUGUUCAAAGCAGGCGAUUGCUUGGAUACUGCAGCAUGGAAUAAUGGAAUAGGACUCGCGUCUUAUUUUGUUGGUUUGGAGAUGUGAGUAAUGAUGAAUAGGGACAGUUGGGGGCAUUGGUAUUCAGUAGUCAGAGGUGAAAUUCUUGGACCGUGUGAAGACAAACUACUGCGAAAGCAUUUGCCAAGAAUGUUUUCAUUA